UUUUACAGAGGGAUAGCCCAGAGAAAUUUGGAUUAAUACCUCAUAGUAUAUGUUUUUCGCAUGUUAGACAUAUUAAAGUUCCAACGGUAAAAGAUGGGCAUGCGUCCUAUUAGCUAGAUGGUAAGGUAACGGCUUACCAUGGCAACGAUAGGUAGGGGUCCUGAGAGGGAGAUCCCCCACACUGGUACUGAGACACGGACCAGACUCCUACGGGAGGCAGCAGUGAGGAAUAUUGGACAAUGGGCGCAAGCCUGAUCCAGCCAUGCCGCGUGCAGGAAGAAGCAUCUAUGGUGUGUAAACUGCUUUUGUACAGGAAGAAACACUCCUUCGUGAAGGAGCUUGACGGUACUGUAAGAAUAAGGAUCGGCUAACUCCGUGCCAGCAGCCGCGGUAAUACGGAGGAUCCAAGCGUUAUCCGGAAUCAUUGGGUUUAAAGGGUCCGUAGGCGGUUUGGUAAGUCAGUGGUGAAAGCCCGCAGCUCAACUGUGGAACGGCCAUUGAUACUGCCAGACUUGAAUUACAAGGAAGUAACUAGAAUAUGUAGUGUAGCGGUGAAAUGCUUAGAUAUUACAUGGAAUACCAAUUGCGAAGGCAGGUUACUACUUGUGGAUUGACGCUGAUGGACGAAAGCGUGGGGAGCGAACAGGAUUAGAUACCCUGGUAGUCCACGCCGUAAACGAUGGAUACUAGCUGUUGGGGGCAACUUCAGUGGCUAAGCGAAAGUGAUAAGU
rnacentral:rRNA from 1 species